GCCUUGAGAAAAUUUAUUCAAGGUCUAGCCUGCCCUCUGACUCAUUGAGUUGAAUGGCCGCAGUACUUUGACUGUGCUAAGGUAGCAUAAUAAUUUGUCUUAUAAUUAAAGACUAGGAUGAAGGGUGCCACGUUGAGGAGAUGUUUCGGUUAUUAUUCUUGAAUUUAUGUUUAAAGUGAAAACACUUUAAUUUAUUCAAGGGACGAGAAGACCCCAUCAAGUUUCAUGCAUUGCUAUAUUAUUAGUUUUUAUGUAGUUUGGAUUUUAUUGGGGUGAUAAUAUUAGUUUAACUUAAUUUAAUUGACAUGGUGAUUGGGAAAUUUAUAUUUGAUCCAACUUUUGUUGAUUACACGACUAAACUACUGUGGGGAUAACAGCGUAAUCUCUUUGGAGAGAACUAAUCGAUGAAGAGGAUUGCGACCUCGAUGUUGGACUAAGGAUUAGAGUUUAGGUCGUUGAGGCUUAAAUCUAGGGCCUGUGUCCCAUUG
rnacentral:rRNA from 1 species